rnacentral:rRNA from 1 species
UACGAAGGGGGCUAGCGUUGUUCGGAUUUACUGGGCGUAAAGCGCACGUAGGCGGAUCGUUAAGUCGGGGGUGAAAUCCUGGAGCUCAACUCCAGAACUGCCUUCGAUACUGGCGAUCUUGAGUCCGGAAGAGGUGAGUGGAACUCCUAGUGUAGAGGUGGAAUUCGUAGAUAUUAGGAAGAACACCAGUGGCGAAGGCGGCUCACUGGUCCGGUACUGACGCUGAGGUGCGAAAGCGUGGGGAGCAAACAGGAUUAGAAACCCCGA